UUGCUAUUCUCUAUCAAUUCUAUCAACGC
rnacentral:sRNA from 1 species